rnacentral:rRNA from 1 species
CUGGCAGCGUGGAUUAGGCAUGCAAGUCGAGCGCGAUCCGGCGUGUAGCAAUACAAACCGGUGAGAGCGGCGAAAGGGUGAGUAACGCGUGGGUAAUCUGCCUCCGAGAUGGGGAUAACUUCUCGAAAGGGAAGCUAAUACCGAAUGUGGUCGCUCCGCGCAUGCGGGGAGGACUGAAGGCGGGGAUCUUAGGACCUGCCACUAGGAGAUGAGCCCGCGUACCAUCAGCUUGUUGGCGGGGUAACGGCCCACCAAGGCUAACGGUUAGCUGGUCUGAGAGGAUGGUCAGCCACACUGGGACUGGGACACUGCCCAGACUCCUACGGGAGGCUGCAGUCGAGGAUCAUUUGCAAUGCGCGAAAGCGUGACAAUGCGACGCUGCGUGGAGGAUGAAGGCCCUCGGGUUGUAAACUCCUGUCAUUCGGGAAAAGCGAUCUCCGACCUAAUACGUCGGGGAAGUGAUGGUACCGGAAGAGGAAGCCACGGCUAACUCUGUGCCAGCAGCCGCGGUAAUACAGAGGUGGCGAGCGUUGUUCGGAUUCACUGGGCGUAAAGGGUGCGUAGGUGGCCGGGUAUGUCGGAUGUGAAAUCCCACCGCUCAGCGGUGGAACUGCGUCCGAAACUGCUCGGCUUGAGUGCAGGAUGGGAGAGCGGAAUUCUUGGUGUAGCGGUGAAAUGCGUUGAUAUCAAGAGGAACACCGGUGGCGAAGGCGGCUCUCUGGAAUGCAACUACACUGAGGCACGGAAGCUGGGGAAGCAAACAGGAUUAGAUACCCUGGUAGUCCCAGCUGUAAACGGUGUACACUUGGUGUGGGGGGAAUUGCCCCCCCCGUGCCGGAGCUAACGCGCUAAGUGUACCGCCUGGGGAGUACGGCCGCAAGGUUAAAACUCAAAGAAAUUGACGGGGGCCCGCACAAGCGGAGGAGCAUGUGGCUUAAUUCGAUCCACGCGAAGAACCUUACCAGGGCUUGACAUGCAGCUGCACGCCCCGCGAAAGCGGGGAAGCCUUCGAGGGUGCUGCACAGGUGCUGCAUGGCUGUCGUCAGUUCGUGCCGUGAGGUGUUGGGUUAAGUCCCGCAACGAACGCAACCCCUGUGUCUGGUUGCCACCGCCGGCGCAAGUCGGCGAGCACUCGAGACAGACUGCCCGUACAAGCGGGAGGAAGGUGGGGACGACGUCAAGUCAGCAUGGCCCUUACGUCCUGGGCUGCACACGUGCUACAAUGGCCGGUUCAAUGGGGUGCAAGACCGCGAGGUGGAGCAAAUCCACAACACCGGCCCCAGUUCAGAUUGCAGUCUGCAACUCGACUGCAUGAAGUCGGAUUCGCUAGUAACGGCGCAUCAGCUACGGCGCCGUGAAUACGUUCCCGGGCCUUGUACACACCGCCCGUCACAUCAUGAAAGCCGUCUGCACCCGAAGUCGCUGAGCUAACCCGCAAGGGAGGCAGGCGCCGAAGGUGUGGGUGGUGAUUGGGAUGAAGUCGUAACAAGGUA